UUCGAUUCUGGCUCAGAUUGAACGCUGGCGGAUGCUUUACACAUGCAACGAACGGCAGCACGGACUUCGGUCUGGUGGCGAGUGGCGAACGGGUGAGUAAUGUAUCGAAACGUGCCUAGUAGCGGGGGAUAACUACGUUUGCUGUAGCUAAUACCGCAUACGUACCCUUCGGGGGAAAGCGGGGACCUUCGGGCCUCGCACUAUUAGAGCGGCCGAUAUCGGAUUAGCUAGUUGGUGGGUAACGGCUCAUCAAGGCGACGAUCCGUAGUUGGUUUGAGAGGACGACCAGCCACACUGACUUGAUAUCGGCUCAGACUCUACGGGAGGCAGCAGGGAAUUUUGACAAUGGGGAACCCCGAUCCAGCCAUCCCGCGUGUGCGAUGAAGGCCUUCGGGUUGUAAAGCACUUUUGGCAGGAAAGAAACGGCACGGGGAUAAUACCCUGUGUAACUGAUUUGGUACCUGCAGAAUAAGCACCGGCUAACUACGUGCCAGCAGCCGCGGUAAUACGUAGUGUGCUGCUAAUCGGAAUUACUGGGCGUAAAAGGUGCGCAGGCGGUUCGGAAAGAAAGAUGUGAACCUAGAGCUUAACUUUGAACUGCAUUUUAACUACUGUUGGAGGCUAGAGUGUGUCGAGGGAGGUGGAAUUCCGCGUGUAGCAGUGAAAUGCGUAGAUAUGCGGAGGAACACCGAUGGCGAAGGCAGCCUCCUGGGAUAACACUGACGCUCAUGCACGAAAGCGUGGGGAGCAAACAGAUUGAUGUUCUGGUAGUCCAACGCCGCCCUAAACGAUGUCAACUAGCUGUUGGGGCCUUCGCCUGGUAGCGCAGCUAACGCGUGUUAAUCACCUGGAGCAGCCACGAUUGAAACAAGAAUGCACGACGGGAUCCCAGGCAGCAAGGAUGAAGUGACUACCUGAUGCGCGAAACCUUACCGCCACGUGUCGAAACCCAGAACGGGAAAGUGCUGUAAGAGGCCUAAACAGGUGCUGCGUGGCCGUCUCACAGUAAAACCUUAGAUGUUAAUGAAGCUGCUGCCGGCGCCGUCGUUAAUGCGCAGGGCAACACCAAUGAGAUCUGCCAGCGCAAAACUGGUGGUAAGAGCGACGCCGUUUCGCGCACUUGCAGGGGCCCACGCAAUGUCAUACAAUGGGUCGGGACAGAGGGUCGCCAACCCGCGAGGGGGAGCCAAUCCCAGAAACCCGAUCAGUCCGGACCAGCUCGCACCGACUGCGUAGUCGGAAUCGCUAGUAAUCGCGGAUCAACAUGUCGCGGUGAAUACGUUCCCGGGUCUUGUACACACCGCCCGUCACACCAUGGGAGUGGGUUUUACCAGAAGUACAGUUAGCCUAACCGUAAGGAGGGCGAUUACCACGGUAGGAUUCAUGACUGGGGUGAAGUCGUAACAAGGUAU
rnacentral:rRNA from 1 species